GACGAACGCUGGCGGCGUGCUUAACACAUGCAAGUCGAACGGAAAGGCCCUGCUUUUGUGGGGUGCUCGCGUGGCGAACGGGUGAGUAACAAGUGAGUGACCUGCCCUUGACUUUGGGAUAACUUCAGGAAACUGGGGCUAAUACCGGCUAGGAGCUCCUGCUGCAUGGUGGGGGUUGGAAAGUUUCGGCGGUUGGGGAUGGACUAGCGGCUUAUCAGCUUGUUGGUGGGGUAGUGGCUUACCAAGGCCUUGACGGGUAGCCGGCCUGUGAGGGGGACCGGCGACAUGGGGACUGAGAGACGGCCCAGACGCCUACGGGAGGCAGCAGUGGGGAAUAUGGCACAAUGGGGGGAAGCCUGAUGCAGCAGCGCCGCGUGCGGGAUGACGGCCUUCGGGUGGUAAACCGCUUUCUCCUGUGACGAAGCGUGAGUGACGGUAAUGUGUAAAGAAGCACCGGCUAACUACGUG
rnacentral:rRNA from 1 species